CCGGCGCACGGGUGAGUAACACGUAUCCAACCUGCCGUCUACUCUUGGACAGCCUUCUGAAAGGAAGAUUAAUACAAGAUGGCAUCAUGAGUCCGCAUGUUCACAUGAUUAAAGGUAUUCCGGUAGACGAUGGGGAUGCGUUCCGUUAGAUAGUAGGCGGGGUAACGGCCCACCUAGUCUUCGAUGGAUAGGGGUUCUGAGAGGAAGGUCCCCCACAUUGGAACUGAGACACGGUCCAA
rnacentral:rRNA from 1 species